rnacentral:misc_RNA from 1 species
GAAAUGCGAUAAGUAAUGCGAAUUGCAGAAUUCAGUGAAUCAUCGAAUCUUUGAACGCACAUUGCGCCCCCCAGUACUCUGGGAGGCACGCCUGUCUGAGCGUCAUUUCAACCCUCGCGCCCCGGCCUCUGUGGCCCGGCGCGGUGUUGGGGAUCGGCCGCCCGCCAGCGGGAGGCCGGCCCCUAAAUCCAGUGGCGACCACGCCGUAAAACCCCCAACUUCUCAAGGUUGACCUCGAAUCAGGUAGGAAUACCCGCUGAACUUAAGC